AGCAGCCGCGGUAAUUCCAGCUCCAAUAGCGUAUAUUAAAGUUGUUGCAGUUAAAAGCUCGUAGUUGAAUUUCGGGAUCAAUACGUCGGUCGUGCUUCGGUACGUACUGGCGUAAUUGAUUUCUCCCCUUCUGAAGAACCUCGAUGCCAUUAAUUUGGUGUCGUGGGGAAUCAGGACUGUUACUUUGAAAAAUUAGAGUGUUUAAAGCAAGCAUACGCUUGAAUACAUUAGCAUGGAAUAAUGAAAUAGGACGUUUGAUUCUAUUUUGUUGGUUUCUAGGAUCGACGUAAUGAUUAAUAGGGAUAGUUGGGGGCAUUAGUAUUCAAUUGUCAGAGGUGAAAUUCUUGGAUUUAUUGAAGACUAACUACUGCGAAAGCAUUUGCCAAGGAUGUUUUCAUUAAUCAAGAACGAAAGUUAGGGGAUCGAAGACGAUCAGAUACCGUCGUAGUCUUAACCAUAAACUAUGCCGACUAGGGAUCGGAUGAUGUUAAUUUUUAAUGACUCAUUCGGCGCCUUACGG
rnacentral:rRNA from 1 species